UUUUAUUUUUUUUUCUGCACCAUGCGAGUUUUUUUGUGAAACCCAUCCCACCCUACCCUAUUUGAUAUGAGGAUAAAUAUUCUAUUGCUGCAUUUUGCUAAAGCAAAUGUUCAAUUCCUUGUAAGUUCUUGGGGUUGAAGAGUUGUAUUGUUUUCAACUUUGUGAAAAACAAAAAUGUUUUAUUCAUUUUUGGUGUUGAAAGUAUGAUUCAAAAUUGAUUUUAUUUUUGAUUCUUAGAUUAUGUUGCUGUGUUGUUUAAUUGUGUCCCUGUUUUUUUAGCAUUUUCAUAUGUAGUUGUUUGUUAUGCCCUCCACUUAUUUGAGAUAAUGCCUGUUAUACGUUAGUAACUAAUUUCAUAAGUAUGGUUGAGAUUUUUUAAGCUCUGUCAGUUGUAAGAAAGCCUAUAUAACAGACAUUUUCAGUUCUGAAAAAAAUGCACAACAAUUCCAAGGAUUUCUUAAAUUGAUUCUUGCCCUUCAUUGAUAUUUUUGCUUGCUGAAAUUACUGCAGUCAGUAUUUCUUCUACUUUCACUUCUUUUUUAUAUUUUGUUUCUGUACAGGUCUUCUAAAUUCCCAACAAAAGUGGUAUCAGAGUAUGGGUUUGAAAUGACAGCAAAUGAGAAUUCUAUUAGCUUGUCCCAACCCAUGAUUCUUAUCUUCGAAAGAGAGAUUUAUGAGUUUUGGAGCAUCAAGAUGAAGACCUUGUUCGAGUCUCAAGACUUGUGGGUCUUGGUUGAGCAAGGGUUUGCUGACCCAGAUGAAAACGGAAGGUUGAGAGAGAACAAAAAGGACUCCAAGGCAUUGUUCUUCAUUUAACAAGCUGUACAUGACUCAGUAUUUUCUCGAAUUGUUGCAGCACCUACAUCAAAGGAGGCUUGGUUACCUCGGAAGAAGGAGUUUUAAAGGACAUCAAAGGUAAUUGUUGUCAAACUUUAGACUCUUCGACAUGAAUUUGAAACUUUAUUUACAAGCAAUGGUGAAUCUGUCCAAGAUUUUAUGUCAAGAGUUUCUGCAAUUGAGUCAAAUGAGGUCUUCUAGAGAACAAAUUAGUUAUCAAACUAUUGUUGAAAAAAUUUUGAGGAGUCUAACUCCAAAGUUUGAUCAUAUUGUUGGUGCCAUUGAAGAAUCUAAAGACCUUUUUGUGUUUUCCUUUGAUGAUCUAAUGGGUUCUUUACAAGCACAUGAAACAAGAAUGAACAGGUCUCGUGAUAAGGACGAAGAAAAGGCUUUUCAAGUGAAAUGGGAGUCAUCAAGUCAAUCAAAGAAAAGUGUUGGAAGUGAACAUGGCAAAGGUGGUCCACAUGGCAAAGGUUAUAAAUCUUUUGAAAGGUAAAUUGAUUCCCAGCAUUCUGAAGAGUGGAAAAACUACAAGAUUGUCCAAUGCCACUAUUGUAAACGAUAUGGACAUAUCAAGGCAAAUUGUUGGAAAAGAGAGAAAAAGGCAAGUUAUGCAGAAGAGGCUAAAGAGGAAAAGUUUGUUUAUGGCCCGAUAUGGUGAAACAAGUGUUGCAAUUGAUAUUUGGUUUCUGGACAGCGACUGUUCAAACCACAUAACGAGUGAAAAGUCCUUAUUUCAUGAGCUUGAUGAGACACAUAGCUGACUGUGAAGUUCGGUGAUGACAACCAAUUCAAGGUUGAACGCAAAGGAACAGUAGCUUGGAGACUAGAGGUGGUAAAGUAAAUUUUUUCAUGAUGUCUUUUAUGUUCCUAACUUGUCACAUAACUUGUUAAGUAUUGGACAAUUAAUGGCUAAUGACUAUUCAGUUUUUUUUUAUUGUGAUGCAUGCGAUAUUAGAGAUAAAAAAUCGGGUCAAGUUGUUGUUAACGUAUGCCUGGCUGAAAAAUAAGAUGUUUCCUCUUGAGGUCUCAAGUGUCAAUCAUCAUACUCUUGUUGUUAGCAAGAAAAGUGAGUCUAUAAUAUGAAAUUUGAGGUAUGGACACUUAAAUGUUAAAGGCUUGCAGUUAUUAUGCAAAAAAAAAACUAGUACAUGGGCUGUCUAGGAUUGAGUCACUUGAAUUGUGUAAGGGCUGCAUAUAUGGAAAGUAAAGUAAUCUUCCAUUUCCUAUAGGCAAGUCUUGGAGGACCUCUAAAACACUUGAAUUGGCGUAUGCUGACUUAUGUGGGCCUAUGAGGACUAAAUCUUUUAGUGGCGAACAUGGUAUUUCUAGACAAUUGAUAGCACCUUACACACCUGAGCAAAAUGGUGUGACAGAGCAAAAGAACCGCAUAGUUGUUGCGAUGGCAAGGAGCAUGUUAAAAGCUAAAGGCCUACCAAAUAAAUUUUGGGCUGAAGGAAUUUCUACUGCUGUUUAUCUUCUCAAUUUAUCCCCAACAAGAGCAGUCCCAAAUCAAAUUCCAUAUGAAGCUUGGAACGGUUUCAAGACUUGGGUAAACUAAUUACGUGUUUUUGGUUGUAUUGCCUAUACUUUGGUUAAUUCUGAAAUUCGGAGUAAACUUGAUGAAAAGUCAAUAAAAUGCAUCUUUGUUGGCUAUUGCACACAUUGCAAAGUAUAUAGGCUAUAUAACCCUGUGAAUGGCAAAGUAGCUAUGAGCAGGAAUAUGGUAUUUGAUGAAGAAGCAAGCAGGAACUGGAACAAGAAUGGAGAGGUAGCUGUAGAAAAUCAUAUUCCACUAGAUUUUGAAACUCCAACUGAAGCCAACAAUGGAGUUCCAGCAGUCACAUUCUCUAGCAUUCAUUACCAACAAACAGCCCAUACAACAGCUCUUCUACACAACUAACUUCAGAAAGUUCUUCAGAAGAAUCUCCUCCAAUAAAGUUUAGAUCAUUGAGGGAGAUAUAUGCAAACAAACAAGCCUUAUUUGUUGCAGAAUCAAUUAAUGUUGAAAAAGCAUAUGCAAAAGAAGAAUGGAUUAAGGCCAUGAAGGAAGAGUUAAAUGCAAUCAACAAAAAUCAAACAUGGGAGAUGGUGGAUUUACCUGAAGGAAAAAAUGCUAUUGGGCUGAAAUGGGUAAUCAAAACUAAAUAUCAUGCUGAUGGGAGUAUUGAAAGGCAUAAAGCAUGGCUGGUUGUCAAGGGAUACGUGCAAACUUAUGGCAUCAACUAUGACGACACGUUCGUACCAGUUGCAAGGUUUAAAAUUGUGAGAACUUUCUUGGCUUUUGCUCGCACAUGAAGCUGCCUGGAUAUCAAUUCAAUGUCAAAUCUGCUUUUUUAAAUGGAGAACUCUUGGAGGAAAUGUAUGUUACUCAACCUGAAGGAUUUAUCAUCAAUGGCAAAGAAGACAAAGUUUACAAGUUGAAAAAGACUCUCUAUGGGUUAAAAUAAGCACCUAGGGCUUGGUAUAGCAAGAUAGAUGCCCAUCUUUGCUCAAAUGGGUAUAUGAGAAGUGUCCAUGAGCCUACUCUUUACUUAAAGAGGCAAGCAAUUGGGCAGGUUCUUUGGAGGACAGGAAAAGCACUUCAGGUAGCAUUUUUUACCUUGGAUUUGGAGCUGUCACUUGGAGUUCUAAAAAACAAGCGACGAAAGCAUUGUAUCAUCUGAAGCAGAGUAUGCUGUUGCAACUUCAGCAGCUUGUCAAGUUGUAUGACUCAGGCGUUUGCUCGCAGAUUUCGGCCAAGAACAGAAAGGUGCAACUAAGAUUCUUUGUUGAUCGAAAGUGAAAAUAAGCUUCAAGGGAAGCGCUGUGAUUGAACAAACUUAGAGAGAGAAAGUUGAAGAGAGAGAGAGCAGCAAAACAGAGCAAGCUUAUGCAACUACUUCUGUUUUGCUGUUAUGAAGAGACGUGCUUUUUCUGGAGAGAAGGAGUAGUUUUCUUCUUUUAUUUCCUCAUAUAUAUAUAAGCAAUACAAAUUUAAAUUGAUUACAUCAAUCAAACGAUUA